UACGUAGGGGGCAAGCGUUUGUCCGGAUUUAUUGGGCGUAAAGAGCUCGUAGGUGGUUCGGUAAGUCGGAUGUGAAAUCUCCAGGCUCAACCUGGAGGGGUCAUUCGAUACUGCCGUGACUAGAGGUCGGUAGGGGAGUGUGGAAUUCCUGGUGGGAGCGGUGAAAUGCGCAGAUAUCAGGAGGAACACCCGUAGCGAAGGCGGCACUCUGGGCCGAUACUGACACUGGAGGAGCGAAAGCGUGGGGAGCGAACAGG
rnacentral:rRNA from 1 species